UGGCACUCACCUGAACGCAGAACCGCAGUGGACAGACCAUCUUGUGACCCUGGACACCCUGAUCUCUUCUAGAACAGAGAAUGAAUCAGCUUGCUACACAGAUGGAUAAGGUGUCCCCCAAGAUGUUCUUGAUGAGAAAGCAUGUGCGUCUCCCCUAUACUUUGCUAACAGUAUCUCUACGGAACAAUACUUUGCUGACAGUAUCUGUAUGGAACAUUGGGAAGCUAAUUCAAACAGGAAUCCUCAGGGUGCUUCUUCGUGUUUCCAAGGGCCUCUCAUUUACCAUAAGAGUUAAAAUAGCCUUGGUAAAUAUACAGCUUGCAAUUGUUUUAUUAUGUUUAUCUAUUGCUGGGCGGGGGAGGUACACGUGGCCACCAUGUGCAUGUGUGAACUUCUGAAGACAACUUUUAGGAGUUGAUUUUUCCCCCCUUCUCCCCCAUGGGUUACAGGGAUCAAGCCCCGGUCAUCAGGCUUGGCAAUGUCUCCACUUGCUCAACCAUCUUGACAUCCCCAAACAUCCCUUGUUUCCAAGGUCAGGAAAAUCUGGAGGCAGUCUGAAUGCAUAAACUCUCUUCCUCCCUAAAUCAUUCAUUCUCAUAAAGCUGUCAGAGGGCACAAUCAAUUGAAUCUAGCAUUGAGCUUUAAGCUUGAAUCAGGUAAAAACUCACCCACCUUACUGAAACAAGUUGUAUACUGUGAUUGUUUGCUAGGCAGCAACACUAAUGAAGAUUUCAGAUUUUCUCUCCCAUUUAUUUAGUGUGUGAGUCUCUCCGUGUGUGCGCAUACAUCGCAGGCCACUGUGUGGGAGUCAAAGGAUAAUUUGCUUGCAGUGUUCUCUGCUUCCCCCAUGUGUGUUCCAGGAAUGGAACUGAGCGCAGCAGGUUCGGUGGCAAGAACCAUUAACUGCUGAGCAGUCUCUAGGUUCUGGCCCAGCUCUCAGAUUUUGACAUCAAGUGGUGAAGAGUUCAGAGUCCUGUGUUGGUGGAGGAUAACAGAGGAAGGUUGUGUAUUGGUGGAAAUGGAUAAAUCCUGAUUCUGCUGAACUUGACAGGUUGAGUGACGCAAACUCUUCGUCUAACAUCACAUCGUUUGUGGUCAUUUUCUUUCCUUGUGACAUUUCUGUCUGGUUUGAUAUCAGUGAUGCUAGAAUUGGCUAGUGAAGUUUCUUGGAUCUGGACUUCUCGUUAUGGAAAAAAAAUGUUGCUGUCUGCUAAGAUACAUUCCUUCAAUAGCCAGGGUUACAGACUUUGGCGUGCAUGUCAAGGGCUUCGGGGACAAGUAUGUCUAACAGGAAUGUCAAAUGCUUGUGGGACAGUUCAACCAUGACACCUGAGCAGCGGAGAGUUUUGACAUGGAACAGGGUGUUCCAAGAGAAUGUUCUUGAACACUCUAACCUUUCAUUAGCAAGAAAGGAAACAUUUUGCCGGGCAGUGGUGGUGCAUGCCUUUAAUCCCAGCACUUGGGAGGCAGAGGCAGGUGGAUUUCUGAGUUCGAGGACAGCCUGGUGAGUUCCAGGACAGCCAGGGCUACACAGAGAAACCCUGUCUUGAAAAAACAAAACAAAACAAAACAAACAAACAAACAAAAAAACAGAACAAAACAACAAAAAACGAAAAACAAAAAAAAAAAA
rnacentral:lncRNA from 1 species